rnacentral:rRNA from 1 species
UUAAGCGACUAAGCGUACACGGUGGAUGCCCUGGCAGUCAGAGGCGAUGAAGGACGUGCUAAUCUGCGAUAAGCGUCGGUAAGGUGAUAUGAACCGUUAUAACCGGCGAUUUCCGAAUGGGGAAACCCAGUGUGAUUCGUCACACUAUCAUUAACUGAAUCCAUAGGUUAAUGAGGCGAACCGGGGGAACUGAAACAUCUAAGUACCCCGAGGAAAAGAAAUCAACCGAGAUUCCCCCAGUAGCGGCGAGCGAACGGGGAGCAGCCCAGAGCCUGAAUCAGUGUGUGUGUUAGUGGAAGCGUCUGGAAAGGCGCGCGAUACAGGGUGACAGCCCCGUACACAAAAAUGCACAUACUGUGAGCUCGAUGAGUAGGGCGGGACACGUGGUAUCCUGUCUGAAUAUGGGGGGACCAUCCUCCAAGGCUAAAUACUCCUGACUGACCGAUAGUGAACCAGUACCGUGAGGGAAAGGCGAAAAGAACCCCGGCGAGGGGAGUGAAAAAGAACCUGAAACCGUGUACGUACAAGCAGUGGGAGCACGCUUAGGCGUGUGACUGCGUACCUUUUGUAUAAUGGGUCAGCGACUUAUAUUCUGUAGCAAGGUUAACCGAAUAGGGGAGCCGAAGGGAAACCGAGUCUUAACUGGGCGUUAAGUUGCAGGGUAUAGACCCGAAACCCGGUGAUCUAGCCAUGGGCAGGUUGAAGGUUGGGUAACACUAACUGGAGGACCGAACCGACUAAUGUUGAAAAAUUAGCGGAUGACUUGUGGCUGGGGGUGAAAGGCCAAUCAAACCGGGAGAUAGCUGGUUCUCCCCGAAAGCUAUUUAGGUAGCGCCUCGUGAAUUCAUCUCCGGGGGUAGAGCACUGUUUCGGCAAGGGGGUCAUCCCGACUUACCAACCCGAUGCAAACUGCGAAUACCGGAGAAUGUUAUCACGGGAGACACACGGCGGGUGCUAACGUCCGUCGUGAAGAGGGAAACAACCCAGACCGCCAGCUAAGGUCCCAAAGUCAUGGUUAAGUGGGAAACGAUGUGGGAAGGCCCAGACAGCCAGGAUGUUGGCUUAGAAGCAGCCAUCAUUUAAAGAAAGCGUAAUAGCUCACUGGUCGAGUCGGCCUGCGCGGAAGAUGUAACGGGGCUAAACCAUGCACCGAAGCUGCGGCAGCGACGCUGAUGCGUUGUUGGGUAGGGGAGCGUUCUGUAAGCCUGUGAAGGUGUGCUGUGAGGCAUGCUGGAGGUAUCAGAAGUGCGAAUGCUGACAUAAGUAACGAUAAAGCGGGUGAAAAGCCCGCUCGCCGGAAGACCAAGGGUUCCUGUCCAACGUUAAUCGGGGCAGGGUGAGUCGACCCCUAAGGCGAGGCCGAAAGGCGUAGUCGAUGGGAAACAGGUUAAUAUUCCUGUACUUGGUGUUACUGCGAAGGGGGGACGGAGAAGGCUAUGUUGGCCGGGCGACGGUUGUCCCGGUUUAAGCGUGUAGGCUGGUUUUCCAGGCAAAUCCGGAAAAUCAAGGCUGAGGCGUGAUGACGAGGCACUACGGUGCUGAAGCAACAAAUGCCCUGCUUCCAGGAAAAGCCUCUAAGCAUCAGGUAACAUCAAAUCGUACCCCAAACCGACACAGGUGGUCAGGUAGAGAAUACCAAGGCGCUUGAGAGAACUCGGGUGAAGGAACUAGGCAAAAUGGUGCCGUAACUUCGGGAGAAGGCACGCUGAUAUGUAGGUGAAGUCCCUCGCGGAUGGAGCUGAAAUCAGUCGAAGAUACCAGCUGGCUGCAACUGUUUAUUAAAAACACAGCACUGUGCAAACACGAAAGUGGACGUAUACGGUGUGACGCCUGCCCGGUGCCGGAAGGUUAAUUGAUGGGGUUAGCGCAAGCGAAGCUCUUGAUCGAAGCCCCGGUAAACGGCGGCCGUAACUAUAACGGUCCUAAGGUAGCGAAAUUCCUUGUCGGGUAAGUUCCGACCUGCACGAAUGGCGUAAUGAUGGCCAGGCUGUCUCCACCCGAGACUCAGUGAAAUUGAACUCGCUGUGAAGAUGCAGUGUACCCGCGGCAAGACGGAAAGACCCCGUGAACCUUUACUAUAGCUUGACACUGAACAUUGAGCCUUGAUGUGUAGGAUAGGUGGGAGGCUUUGAAGUGUGGACGCCAGUCUGCAUGGAGCCGACCUUGAAAUACCACCCUUUAAUGUUUGAUGUUCUAACGUUGACCCGUAAUCCGGGUUGCGGACAGUGUCUGGUGGGUAGUUUGACUGGGGCGGUCUCCUCCUAAAGAGUAACGGAGGAGCACGAAGGUUGGCUAAUCCUGGUCGGACAUCAGGAGGUUAGUGCAAUGGCAUAAGCCAGCUUGACUGCGAGCGUGACGGCGCGAGCAGGUGCGAAAGCAGGUCAUAGUGAUCCGGUGGUUCUGAAUGGAAGGGCCAUCGCUCAACGGAUAAAAGGUACUCCGGGGAUAACAGGCUGAUACCGCCCAAGAGUUCAUAUCGACGGCGGUGUUUGGCACCUCGAUGUCGGCUCAUCACAUCCUGGGGCUGAAGUAGGUCCCAAGGGUAUGGCUGUUCGCCAUUUAAAGUGGUACGCGAGCUGGGUUUAGAACGUCGUGAGACAGUUCGGUCCCUAUCUGCCGUGGGCGCUGGAGAACUGAGGGGGGCUGCUCCUAGUACGAGAGGACCGGAGUGGACGCAUCACUGGUGUUCGGGUUGUCAUGCCAAUGGCACUGCCCGGUAGCUAAAUGCGGAAGAGAUAAGUGCUGAAAGCAUCUAAGCACGAAACUUGCCCCGAGAUGAGUUCUCCCUGACNGUCCUGAAGGAACGUUGAAGACGACGACGUUGAUAGGCCGGGUGUGUAAGCGCAGCGAUGCGUUGAGCUAACCGGUACUAAUGAACCGUGAGGCUUAACCUU